rnacentral:rRNA from 1 species
GACGAACGCUGGCGGCGUGCUUAACACAUGCAAGUCGAACGGAAAGGCCCUGCUUUUGUGGGGUGCUCGAGUGACGAACGGGUGAGUAACACGUGAGUAACCUGCCCUUGACUUUGGGAUAACUUCAGGAAACUGGGGCUAAUACCGGAUAGGAGCUCCUGCUGCAUGGUGGGGGUUGGAAAGUUUCGGCGGUUGGGGAUGGACUCGCGGCUUAUCAGCUUGUUGGUGGGGUAGUGGCUUACCAAGGCUUUGACGGGUAGCCGGCCUGAGAGGGUGACCGGCCACAUUGGGACUGAGAUACGGCCCAGACUCCUACAGGAGGCAGCAGUGGGGAAUAUUGCACAAUGGGCGGAAGCCUGAUGCAGCAACGCCGCGUGCGGGAUGACGGCCUUCGGGUUGUAAACCGCUUUCGCCUGUGACGAAGCGUGAGUGACGGUAAUGGGUAAAGAAGCACCGGCUAACUACGUG